GCUUACGGCCAUACCAACCUGGCUAUGCCCGAUCUCGUCUGAUCUCGGAAGCUAAGCAGGUUUGGCCUGGUUAGUACUUGGAUGGGAGACCGCCUGGGAAAACCAGGUGCUGUAAGCU
ensembl:rRNA 5S_rRNA 5S ribosomal RNA